AAAUGCAUGCUACUUGAGUCUGUGAUCAGGUAUCAAAAUUCAAACUUUUUUUGUAAAGCUCGUUGGGUCGUGUCAACAUAAUUCAGAGGCUGGUUCUUUGUUUUGGAGGUUGGAUCAUCGACUAGCUUUAGGUAUGGGUAAUCAGAGAGAAACGCAAGGGAACGGUGCAAGGUGUUAAUGUCAAACAUACUUUCAGAAAUGAGACGCGCGGAAUAUACAAAUUAUGUAACAAUCUUGAACGCUGUUAUUCUUAUCCAAUAUGUGCCAAGAGUUCUUCAAAUAUACCUAUCCUUGAAGAAACUGGAUGAACAUAAAAAUAUUCCCAUACCGAUCAGAGCUUCAUUCAAUUUCUUUCUAUACGUCCUUGCUGGUUAUGUAUUUGGAGCCUUUUGGUAUUUUUUUCUCAACUCAACGACUGACAUAUUGUUGGCGUAAAGCGUGUUUACAUCAUGGUGAAUGCGUCCAAGGUUCUUUUAACUGUGACCACAGUUUUGGAAAUCUCUCUGUUUCACACGAUUUCUGCCCUAUUGAUUCAACAAAUACAAGAACCUUUGAUUUUGGAAUAUUCCUCGAAGCCCGUCGGUCCGGGAUCUUAGAGUCCACAGAUUUUCCAAAAAAAUUAAUUUACACUGCCUGGUGGGGCUUGCGAAAUUUA